CUGAGAGCCGCACUGGGA
rnacentral:piRNA from 1 species